UGCAGUCGAACGCGUCUCCGUUGAUGAUUUUAGGUGCUUGCACUUGAAAGAUUUAACAUUGAGACGAGUGGCGAACUGGUGAGUAACACGUGGGUAACCUGCCCUUGAAGUAGGGGAUAACACUUGGAAACAGGUGCUAAUACCGUAUAACAACCAAAACCACCUGGUUUUGGUUUAAAAGACGGCUUCGGCUGUCACUUUAGGAUGGACCCGCGGCGCAUUAGCUUGUUGGUAAGGUAACGGCUUACCAAGGCGAUGAUACGUAGCCGACCUGAGAGGGUAAUCGGCCACAUUGGGACUGAGACACGGCCCAAACUCCUACGGGAGGCAGCAGUAGGGAAUCUUCCACAAUGGACGAAAGUCUGAUGGAGCAACGCCGCGUGAGUGAUGAAGGGUUUCGGCUCGUAAAACUCUGUUGUUGGAGAAGAACAGGUGUCAGAGUAACUGUUGACAUCUUGACGGUAUCCAACCAGAAAGCCACGGCUAACUACGUGCCAGCGGCCGCGGUAAUACGUAGGUGGCAAGCGUUGUCCGGAUUUAUUGGGCGUAAAGCGAGCGCAGGCGGUUUUUUAGGUCUGAUGUGAAAGCCUUCGGCUUAACCGGAGAAGUGCAUCGGAAACCGGGAGACUUGAGUGCAGAAGAGGACAGUGGAACUCCAUGUGUAGCGGUGAAAUGCGUAGAUAUAUGGAAGAACACCAGUGGCGAAGGCGGCUGUCUGGUCUGUAACUGACGCUGAGGCUCGAAAGCAUGGGUAGCGAACAGGAUUAGAUACCCUGGUAGUCCAUGCCGUAAACGAUGAGUGCUAAGUGUUGGAGGGUUUCCGCCCUUCAGUGCUGCAGCUAACGCAUUAAGCACUC
rnacentral:rRNA from 1 species